UCAAUUUGACACUUUACUUUACCACAACAACGAAGGCGGGGGAAAGAACUAGCGCCAAUAAAAUAUAAACGUGAUCCAACGAUAUCCAAUAACAAAGUAAAUUAGAACAGAAGCUAAUAGUCGUACAGGCAACCAGCAGCAAACUAAUUAAGCUUAAUUAAGGACACAAAAGACACUUUGGCUAUAAAAGUAAUUGUUAAAGGAAAGAUGCUUAUGGAUUAGCCUUGAACACUAAAUAUGGAUAUGAAGUUAUAUUUCAUUACUUGUGUAUACUUUAUUGUUUUUAUUGACAGCUUUGCAGCAAAUACCUUUAAUAAUCAACAGGAUGGCCUUCUAUCUUGUGUAUCGGAUAAUGACAUUUACGUUUGUUACAACACAGAAAGAGAGAAAUAUUACAAUAUACCCAAAAUGAAAAUGAACAAACUGUUAGAAUCAUCCGGAAAUGAACAGUAUAAUAUACAAGAAGACGUAGAUGACAAUUAUAGCGUAGGAGAAAGUCGUAGCAAUUACAUGCCAACAACGAAGAGGGGAAAUAAACGUCCAUCAUUUCUAGGAUUGAAUCGACCAUCCCUCUCACUUUAUGAUUUAUUUGUUAACUACAGACGACCACCACAUAGCCGAGGAUUAUUCACCUCAUUUCGGAAAAGGCCUUUCGAUUCCAUAUCAUACAGAGGACAGUUCGGAGGGUUCGGACGAAAACGAUGAUGAAUCAUUCCAAAUGACUCAAAUAAAAUCUUUUUCCACUUGCAA